rnacentral:rRNA from 1 species
UACAGAGGUGGCAAGCGUUGUCCGGAUUUAUUGGGCGUAAAGAGCGUGUAGGCGGCCAGGUAGGUCCGUUGUGAAAACUGGAGGCUUAACCUCCAGCUGUCGAUGGAAACCAUCUGGCUAGAGUCCGGAAGAGGAGAGUGGAAUUCCUGGUGUAGCGGUGAAAUGCGCAGAUAUCAGGAAGAACACCCGUGGCGAAGGCGGCUCUCUGGGACGGUACUGACGCUGAGACGCGAAAGCGUGGGGAGCGAACAGG